AUUGAACGCUGGCGGCAGGCCUAACACAUGCAAGUCGAACGAGUGGCGGACGGGUGAGUAAUGCCUGGGAAACUGCCUGAUGGAGGGGGAUAACUACUGGAAACGGUAGCUAAUACCGCAUACUAUCGGAUGUGCCCAGGUGGGAUUAGCUAGUUGGUGGGGUAAAGGCCCACCUAGGCGACGAUCCCUAGCUGGUCUGAGAGGAUGACCAGCCACACUGGAAAUGAGAAACGGUCCAGACUCCUACGGGAGGCAGCAGUGGGGAAUAUUGGACAAUGGGCGCAAGCCUGAUGCAGCCAUGCCGCGUGUAUGAAGAAGGCCUUCGGGUUGUAAAGGACUUUCAGCAGGGAGGCGUUACCCGAAGAAGAAGCACCGGCUAACUACGUGCCAGCCGCCGCGGUAAUUC
rnacentral:rRNA from 1 species